AACCUUAUAUUCAAUAUAUGAUAUUAAACUGCAAUUUUAAAGUAACAGACCCUAAUUCUGUUAAGGUUU
rnacentral:tRNA from 1 species